rnacentral:rRNA from 1 species
CGGACGGGUGAGUAACGCGUGAGUAACCUGCCUUUCAGAGGGGGAGUAACGUUCUGAAAAGAACGCUAAUACCGCAUAACAUCAAUUUAUCGCAUGAUAGGUUGAUCAAAGGAGCAAUCCGCUGGAAGAUGGACUCGCGUCCGAUUAGCCAGUUGGCGGGGUAACGGCCCACCAAAGCGACGAUCGGUAGCCGGACUGAGAGGUUGAACGGCCACAUUGGGACUGAGACACGGCCCAGACUCCUACGGGAGGCAGCAUG